rnacentral:misc_RNA from 1 species
AACUUGCUGCAAUGUAUCUCUUGGUUCUCGCAUCGAUUAAGAACGCAGCGAAUUGCGAUAUGUAAUGUGAAUUGCAGAAUUCAGUGAAUCAUCGAAUCUUUGAACGCACCUUGCGCCCUUUGGUAUUCCGAAGGGCAUGCCUGUUUGAGUGUCAUUAAAUUCUCAACUUCAAAUAUUUUGAAGCUUGGACUGUGGAGGUUUGCCGGCGUCAUUGUCAGCUCCUCUUAAAUGCAUUAGCGGAACUUUAUUAAAAGGACCAGCUUUGGUUUGAUAAUCCUAUCUAUGCCGUUGCUGUGGACUUUGUUGUUCAGCUUCAAAUGGUCUUCGGACUGUCUCCUUGGUGAGGCAUACACUUUUAAACUUGACCUCAAAUCAGGUAGGACUACCCGCUGAACUUAAGCAUAUCAAUAAGCGGAGGCU